GGGUUGUGAGGUUAAGCGACUAAGUACACGGUGGAUGCCACUGGCGGUCAAGAGGCGAUGAAGGACGAUGCUAAUCUGCGAUAAGCGUCGGCCAGGUGAUAUGAGCGUUAUAACCGGCGAUUUCGAAGAUGGAAACCCAGUGUGAUUCGUCACACUAUCAUUAACUAAAUCCAUAGGUUAAUGAGGCGAACCGGAAAUUGAAACAUCCUAAGUACCCCGAGGGGAAAAAGAAAUCAACAGAUUCCCCAGUAGCCUUGAGCAGGCUGGGGGGAGAGCCCAAGGCCUGAAUCAGUGUGUGUGUUGAGUGGAAGCGUCUGGAAAGGCGCGAUACAGGAGUGACAGCCCCGUACACAAAAAUGCACAUGCUGGCGGAGGCUCGAUGAGUAGGGGGCCCGGGACACGUGGUAUCCUGUCUGAAUAUGGGGGACCAUCGCCAAGGCUAAAUACUCCUGACCCCGACCGAUGGUAAUUCGUACCGUACAGGGGAAAGGCGAAAGAACCCGGCGAGGGUGAAAAAGAACCUGAAACCGUGUACGUACAAGCAGUGGGAGCACGCUUCGGCGUGUGACUGCGUACCCUUUGUAUAAUGGGUCAGCGACUUAUAUUCUGCAAGGUUAACCGAAUAGGGGAGCCGAAGGAAACCGAGUCUAACUGGGCGUUGGUUGCAGGGUAUAGACGAAACCCGGUGAUCUAGCCAUGGGCGGAGUUGAAGGUUGGGUAACACUAACUGGGGACCAGACCGGCUAAUGUUGAAAAAAUUAGCGGAUGACUUGUGGCUGGGGGUGAAAGGCCAAUCAAACCGGAGAUGGCUGGGACCUCUAUUCUUUAGGUAGCGCCUCGUGAAUUCAUCUCCGGGGGGUAGAGCACUGUUUCGGCAAGGGGUCAUCCCGACUUACCAACCCGAUGCAAACUGCGAAUACCGGAGAAUGUUAUCACGAGGGACACGGCGGGUGUAACGUCCGUCGUGAAGAGGAACAACCCAGACCGCCAGCUAAGGUCCCAAAAGUCAUGGUUAAAGUGGGAAGCGAUGUGGGAAGGCCCAGACAGCGAGGAUGUUGGCAGAAGCAGCCAUCAUUUAAAGCGUAAUAGCUCACUGGUCGGAGUCGGCCUGCGCGGAAGAUGUAACGGGGCUAAACCAUGCACCGAAGCUGCGGCAGCGACACUAUGUGUUGUUGGGUAGGGGAGCGUUCUGUAAGCCUGUGAAGGUGUACUGUGAGGUAUGCUGGAGGUAUCAGAAGUGCGAAUGCUGACAUAAGUAACGAUAAAGCGGGUGAAAACCCCCGCUCGCCGGAAGACCAAGGGUUCCUGUCCAGCGUUAAUCGGGGCAGGGUGGAGUCGACCCUAAGGCGAGGCCGAAGGCGUAGUCGAUGGGAAACGGGUUAAUAUUCCCUGUACUUAGUGUUACUGCGAAGGGGACGGAGAAGGCUAUGUUGUGGGCGACGGAUUUGUCCCAGUUUAAGCGUGUAGGCUGGUUUUCCGGGCAAUCCGGAGAAAAAAUCAAGGCUGGGGCGUGAUGACGAGGGAAACUACAGUUGCUGGAAGCCAAGCAAAUGCCCUCACUUCCAGAAAAACCUCAAAUAAGUAAACAUCAGUCAAAAUGCUAGGCAAACACAGGUGGUCAGGUAUAGAGAAUACCAAGGCGCUUGAGAAACUCGGGUAGAAGGGGAACUAGGCAAAAUGGUGCCGUAACUUCGGGAGAAGGCACGCUGAUAUGAGUGAAACGCGACUUGCUCGUGGAGCUGAAAUCAGUCGAAGAUACCAGCUGGCUGCAACUGUUUAUUAAAAACACAGCACUGUGCAAACACGAAAGUGGACGUAUACGGGAUUGUGACGCCUGCCCGGUGCCGGAAGGUUAAUUGAUGGGGUUAGCGGUAACGCGAAACUCUAAAUCUGAAAGCCCAGUAAAGCUUGUAGCAGAAAGCCCGUAACUAUAACGGUCCUAAGGUAGCGAAAUUCCUUGUCGGGUAAGUUCCGACCUGCACGAAUGGCGUAAUGAUGGCCAGGCUGUCUCCACCCGAGACUCAGUGAAAUUGAACUCGCUGUGAAGAUGCAGUGUACCCGCGGCAAGACGGAAGGAACCCGUGAACCUUUACUAUAAUGACACUGAACAUUGAGCCUUGAUGUGUAGGAUAGGUGGGAGGCUUUGAAGUGUGGACGCCAGUCUGCAUGGAGCCGACCUUGAAAUACCGCCGCUUGUUUGAUGUUCUAACGUUGGCCCGUUAUCCCGGGUUGCGGACGAGGUGUCUGGUGGGUAGUUUGACUGGGGCUGGUCUCCCUCCUAAGAGUAACGGAGGGCACGAGGUUGGCUAAUCACGGUCGGACAUCAGGGAGGUUAGUGCAAUGGCAUAGCCAAAGCUUGACUGCUGACGUGACGGCGCGAGCAGGCCAGCUGGAGUCAUAGUGAUCCAGUGGUUCUGAAUGGAAGGGCCAUCGCUCAACGGAUAAGGUACUCCAGGGAUAACAGGCUGAUACCGCCCAGGUUCAUAUCGACGGCGGUGUUUGGCACCUCGAUGUCGCUCAUCAUCCUGGGGCUGAGAAGUAGGUCCCAAAGGAGUAUAACAUUCGCCAUUUAAGUGGUACGCGAGCUGGGUUUAGAACGUCGUGAGACGAGGUUCGGUCCCCUAUCUGCCGUGGGCGCUGGAAGGCACGAGGGGGCUGCUCCUAGUACAGGAGGACCGGAGUGGACGCAUCCCACUGGUGUUCGGGUUGUCAUGCCAAUGGCACUGCCCGGUAGCUAAAUGCGGAAGAGAUAAGUGCUGAAAGCAUCUAAGCACGAAACUUGCCCCGAGAUGAGUUCUCCUGACUCCUAAGAGAGUCCUGAAGGAACGUUGAAGACGACGACGUUGAUAGGCCGGGUGUGUAAGCGCAGCGAUGCGUUGAGCUAACCGGUACUAAUGAACCGUGAGGCUUAACCUUACAACGCCGAAGGUGUUU
rnacentral:rRNA from 1 species